rnacentral:rRNA from 1 species
UACACUCCUACGGGAGGCAGCAGUGGGGAAUUUUGGACAAUGGGGGCAACCCUGAUCCAGCAAUGCCGCGUGAGUGAAGAAGGCCUUCGGGUUGUAAAGCUCUUUUGUCAGGGAAGAAACGGUAGUAGCGAAUAACUAUUACUAAUGACGGUACCUGAAGAAUAAGCACCGGCUAACUACGUGCCAGCAGCCGCGGUAAUACGUAGGGUGCAAGCGUUAAUCGGAAUUACUGGGCGUAAAGCGUGCGCAGGCGGUUGUGUAAGUCAGAUGUGAAAUCCCCGGGCUCAACCUGGGAAUUGCAUUUGAGACUGCACGGCUAGAGUGUGUCAGAGGGGGGUAGAAUUCCACGUGUAGCAGUGAAAUGCGUAGAUAUGUGGAGGAAUACCGAUGGCGAAGGCAGCCCCCUGGGAUAACACUGACGCUCAUGCACGAAAGCGUGGGGAGCAAACAGGAUUAGAUACCCGGGUAGUCCCAUGA